CCUACGGGGUGCAGCAGUGGGGAAUAUUGGACAAUGGGCGAAAGCCUGAUCCAGCCAUGCCGCGUGUGUGAAGAAGGCCUUCGGGUUGUAAAGCACUUUCAGUGGGGAAGAAAGCCUUGGGGCUAAUACCCUCGAGGAAGGACAUCACCCACAGAAGAAGCACCGGCUAACUCCGUGCCAGCAGCCGCGGUAAUACGGAGGGUGCGAGCGUUAAUCGGAAUUACUGGGCGUAAAGCGCGCGCAGGCGGUCUGAUAAGCCGGUUGUGAAAGCCCCGGGCUCAACCUGGGAACGGCAUCCGGAACUGUCAGGCUAGAGUGCAGGAGAGGAAGGUAGAAUUCCCGGUGUAGCAGUGAAAUGCGUAGAGAUCGGGAGGAAUACCAGUGGCGAAGGCGGCCUUCUGGACUGACACUGACGCUGAGGUGCGAAAGCGUGGGUAGCAAACAGGAUUAGAUACCCGUGUAGUC
rnacentral:rRNA from 1 species